AACGAACGCUGGCGGCAGGCUUAACACAUGCAAGUCGAGCGCCCCGCAAGGGGAGCGGCAGACGGGUGAGUAACGCGUGGGAAUCUACCCAUCUCUACGGAAUAACGCAUGGAAACGUGUGCUAAUACCGUAUACGUCCUUCGGGAGAAAGAUUUAUCGGAGAUGGAUGAGCCCGCGUUGGAUUAGCUAGUUGGUGGGGUAAAGGCCUACCAAGGCGACGAUCCAUAGCUGGUCUGAGAGGAUGAUCAGCCACACUAGGACUGAGACACGGCCCAGACUCCUACGGGAGGCAGCAGUGGGGAAUAUUGGACAAUGGGCGCAAGCCUGAUCCAGCCAUGCCGCGUGAGUGAUGAAGGCCCUGGGGUUGUAAAGCUCUUUCACCGGUGAAGAUAAUGACGGUAACCGGAGAAGAAGCCCCGGCUAACUUCGUGCCAGCCGCCGCCGUAAAAC
rnacentral:rRNA from 1 species